rnacentral:rRNA from 1 species
CGCCCUUAGAGUUUGAUCAUGGCUCAGGACGAACGCUGGCGGCGUGCCUAAUACAUGCAAGUUGAGCGUUGGUACUUGUACCAAGAGCAGCGAACGGGUGAGUAACGCGUGGGGAAUCUGCCUUUGAGCGGGGGACAACAUUUGGAGACGAAUGCUAAUACCGCAUAAAAACUUAACACAAGUUUAAGUUGAAAGAUGAUUGCAUCACUCAAAGAUGAUCCCGCGUUGUAUUAGCUAGUUGGUGAGGUAAAGGCUCACCAAGGCGAUGAUACAUAGCCGACCUGAGAGGGUGAUCGGCCACAUUGGGACUGAGACACGGCCCAAACUCCUACGGGAGGCAGCAGUAGGGAAUCUUCGGCAAUGGACGAAAGUCUGACCGAGCAACGCCGCGUGAGUGAAGAAGGUUUUCGGAUCGUAAAACUCUGUUGGUAGAGAAGAACGUUGGUGAGGAAACUCAUCAAGUGACGGUAACUACCCAGAAAGGGACGGCUAACUACGUGCCAGCAGCCGCGGUAAUACGUAGGUCCCGAGCGUUGUCCGGAUUUAUUGGGCGUAAAGCGAGCGCAGUGGUUUAUUAAGUCUGGUGUAAAAGGCAGUGGCUCAACCAUUGUAUGCAUUGGAAACUGGUAGACUUGAGUGCAGGAGAGAGAGUGAAUUCCAUGUGUAGCGGUGAAAUGCGUAGAUAUAUGGAGA